rnacentral:rRNA from 1 species
GGAAGGAUCCCUAAACAGAAUCGUGCGGUAGUGCUGGUUCUUACAAGUGCACACCGCCACUUCUCUAUUCACCCCAUGUGCACCUCUGCGUCGCCGGCAUCUCCGGCUUCGCCUUAUUUACACAAAAACCUUUGUAUCGAAUGUCUUGUUGGAACAAUAAUAAAAUACAACUAUCAACAACGGAUCUCUUGGCAUCCCACUCGAUGAAGAACGCAGCGAAUUGCGAUAAGUAAUGUGAAUUGCAGAAUUCAGUGAAUCAUCGAAUCUUUGAACGCACCUUGCACCCUCCAGUCUUCUGGAGGGUACGCCCGGUUGAGUAUUAUGAUCACCUCAAACCUCUGGCUUUCUUAUUGCAAAGGCCGAUGCUUUGACAAAGGCGCCCACCGGGGUGCUGACAGUUGGAGUUUGGCUUGGAGAACCGGCAGGUCUUGGACUUGAGUUUAUGUUGGUUCCAUAUGGAUCGACUCACUCGAAAUGCAUUAGCUGGCAACCCACUCCUGACGGUUACCACUUGGCGUAGUAAGUCUUAUUCGUCAAGGACACCUUGCGCCUUCACAGGGGCAGGUGGCCGUUGUGCUGUGUCUUGAUGGCCGCUUCUAAUCGUCUCCGGACAACACACGAAACCUUUAAUCUCAACUCGGGUAGGACUACCCGCUGAACUUAAGCAUAUCAAUAAGCGGAGGAAAAGAAACUAACAAGGAUUCCCCUAGUAACGGCGAGUGAAGCGGGAAGAGCUCAAAUUUUAAAUCUGGCGUCUUACGGGCGUCCGAGUUGUAAUCUAGAGAAGCGUUUUCUGUGCUGGACCCACCAUAAGUUACCUCGAACGGUACAUCAUAGAGGGUGAGAAUCCCGUGUGUUGGUGGGACGCCCAGUGCUCUGCGAUACGUUCUCGACGAGUCGAGUUGUUUGGGAAUGCAGCUCAAAAUGGGAGGUAAAUUCCUUCUAAAGCUAAAUACAUUGGGAUGACCGAUAGCGAACAAGUACCNUGAG